GGCGAACGGGUGCGUAACGCGUAUGCAACUUACCUUUUACUAGAGAAUAGCCAAGAGAAAUUUUGAUUAAUGCUCUAUGUUCUUAUUUACUCGCAUGAGUAAAUAAGCAAAGCUCCGGCGGUAAAAGAUGGGCAUGCGUCCUAUUAGCUUGUAGGUGAGGUAAUGGCUCACCUAAGCUCCGAUAGGUAGGGGUCCUGAGAGGGAGAUCCCCCACACUGGUACUGAGACACGGACCAGACUUCUACGGAAGGCAGCAGUAAGGAAUAUUGGACAAUGGAGGCAACUCUGAUCCAGCCAUGCCGCGUGAAGGAAGACGGCCUUAUGGGUUGUAAACUUCUUUUAUACAGGAAGAAACCUUUCCACGUGUGGAAAGCUGACGGUACUGUAAGAAUAAGGAUCGGCUAACUCCGUGCCAGCAGCCGCGGUAAUACGGAGGAUCCAAGCGUUAUCCGGAAUUAUUGGGUUUAAAGGGUCCGCAGGCUGUUUGUUAAGUCAGAGGUGAAAUCCUACCGCUCAACGGUAGAACUGCCUUUGAUACUGGCAAACUUGAGUUAUUGUGAAGUAGUUAGAAUGUGUAGUGUAGCGGUGAAAUGCAUAGAUAUUACACAGAAUACCGAUUGCGAAAGCAGAUUACUAACAAUAUACUGACGCUGAGGGACGAAAGCGUGGGUAGCGAACAGGAUUAGAUACCCUGGUAGUCCACGCCGUUAACGAUGGUCACUAGCUGUUCCGACGUACAUUGGUACGUUGAGUGGCUAAGCGAAAGUGAUAAGUGACC
rnacentral:rRNA from 1 species